AGAGUUUGAUCCUGGCUCAGAACGAACGCUGGCGGCGUGGAUAAGACAUGCAAGUCGAACGAGAGAAUUGCUAGCUUGCUAAUAAUUCUCUAGUGGCGCACGGGUGAGUAACACGUGAGUAACCUGCCCCCGAGAGCGGGAUAGCCCUGGGAAACUGGGAUUAAUACCGCAUAGUAUCGAAAGAUUAAAGCAGCAAUGCGCUUGGGGAUGGGCUCGCGGCCUAUUAGUUAGUUGGUGAGGUAACGGCUCACCAAGGCGAUGACGGGUAGCCGGUCUGAGAGGAUGUCCGGCCACACUGGAACUGAGACACGGUCCAGACACCUACGGGUGGCAGCAGUCGAGAAUCAUUCACAAUGGGGGAAACCCUGAUGGUGCGACGCCGCGUGGGGGAAUGAAGGUCUUCGGAUUGUAAACCCCUGUCAUGUGGGAGCAAAUUAAAAAGAUAGUACCAUAAGAGGAAGAGACGGCUAACUCUGUGCCAGCAGCCGCGGUAAUACAGAGGUCUCAAGCGUUGUUCGGAAUCACUGGGCGUAAAGCGUGCGUAGGCUGUUUCGUAAGUCGUGUGUGAAAGGCGCGGGCUCAACCCGCGGACGGCACAUGAUACUGCGAGACUAGAGUAAUGGAGGGGGAACCGGAAUUCUCGGUGUAGCAGUGAAAUGCGUAGAUAUCGAGAGGAACACUCGUGGCGAAGGCGUGUUCCUGGACAUUAACUGACGCUGAGGCACGAAGGCCAGGGGAGCGAAAGGGAUUAGAUACCCCUGUAGUCCUGGCAGUAAACGGUGCACGCUUGGUGUGCGGGGAAUCGACCCCCUGCGUGCCGGAGCUAACGCGUUAAGCGUGCCGCCUGGGGAGUACGGUCGCAAGAUUAAAACUCAAAGAAAUUGACGGGGACCCGCACAAGCGGUGGAGUAUGUGGCUUAAUUCGAUGCAACGCGAAGAACCUUACCUGGGCUUGACAUGUAAUGAACAACAUGUGAAAGCAUGCGACUCUUCGGAGGCGUUACACAGGUGCUGCAUGGCCGUCGUCAGCUCGUGUCGUGAGAUGUUUGGUUAAGUCCAGCAACGAGCGCAACCCCUGUUGCCAGUUACCAGCACGUGAAGGUGGGGACUCUGGCGAGACUGCCCAGAUCAACUGGGAGGAAGGUGGGGACGACGUCAGGUCAGUAUGGCCCUUAUGCCCAGGGCUGCACGCGUACUACAAUGCCCAGUACAGAGGGGGCCGAAGCCGCGAGGCGGAGGAAAUCCUAAAAACUGGGCCCAG
rnacentral:rRNA from 1 species